AACGAACGCUGGCGGCAUGCCUAAUACAUGCAAGUCGAACGAGAAAGCUCUUUCGGGAGUGAUUAGAGUGGCGGACGGGUGAGUAACACGUAGGUGACCUAUCUAGUGGAAGGGGAUAACAGGGAGAAGUUCCUGCUAAUACCGUAUAAGUUGAGCGAACUUGGAAAUAGCUCAAGAAAGAUGGCCUCUGUUUCAUGCUAUCACCAUUGGGAGGGCCUGCGGGUCAUUAGUUUGUUGGUGGGGUAAAGGCCUACCAAGACUAUGAUGACUAGCCGGUCUGAGAGGAUGAUCGGCCACACUGGAACCGAGACACGGUCCAG
rnacentral:rRNA from 1 species